rnacentral:lncRNA from 1 species
GCUGAGAAUGUUUUUGCUGUAAAAGUUCUUAUUUAGAUUCUUUUGAGCUUAUUAUGUUUAGGGUAAAUACAAAAAAAAAUGAAAAUAUGGUAUUGGUCUAUGCACAUUGGACCUAGUAAUUCAUUUAAUUUUUUUAAUAUUCUUUUAUAGAAUUUGCAGUAAUUCUUUUCUUAAUUGUGUAGAAUUUAUAUACAAAUCAGAAGUAAAUCGACACAAAUCAGCAGCAAUUGUUGAAUGAAAGUGCGUUUCACUGUUAGAAGUUGUGGCGAUUGAUAACUCAAGCAAAGCCAUAGGAAUGGGAAGAGGACCAUUCUCUCUAAUAGGACCAAUUCUACAAUGGAUGCAUAUAUACGUUCAGAAAAAGUCGCGUAUAUGAGUGGGGCGAAAAUGACAACACAUUAAUCUUUCAUCUAACUCCAUCAGCAACAUUACAAGAACUAGAUGGUACAGAUCUAACAUACUUUUGUAUUUCAGAAUAUAUAUAUAUAUAUGCCUAAAGAAUGCACUGUACAUGUAUUCAUCUACAUUGCCAUGAAAAUGAAAGUACCCACAUCUCACUCUCUCUCUCUCCCCCACUAAUCAGCAGCUAUAAUAUCUCCACGAGGGGAAUCAUUAAAUAAGUUCAAUCGAAGUGCUUAAUAAACCUGUGCAGAGAGUGUGACAAAUAUAUAUGUAUAUAUAAGAGUAAUCUACUCCUGUUUAUCAGCCAUGUAAUUCAAGGAAAUAAUAAAUUUAUAUAUGUUUCCGAUUUUUAUUUAUGAGAAUAUAAAAGAUUUUGUGAUUGACUUUUUCCAUUUAAUAUUCAUCAGCACUUUACAGUAAGAUAUAUAUGUAAAACCACUAUAUUAUGUAGCCCACUAACUAUUAGACCUUCAAUUAAGAAAAAAGAAGAAGAAGAAAAGACAUGCAUUGAAUGAUUGAAAUAAUAUGUAUAUACCAAUUUGCUUGAAAUGUACUCCAUAUGCUUAGAAUAGAUUUAAGGAUAUGAUUAAUUCGUGUAAAACUAGUGCAUAAUUAAUUACGGUGAAAAAGGGUUUAUUAUAAUGAUAAUUAUUAUUAUUGUUUAUUAUUAUGAAUUAUGCAAGUGAGGAAGUUGGGAUAAUGUGUGCAGGAGCAGGAGCAUGUAUAGGAAAAAGCUUAGAGUAGAAUGGAAGUUGAGAAUAUUGAGGACCCCAAACCCAAUACCUAAGCUAACUCUGUCAUCCACCAACGACAUCAACAAAAAGCAGCAGGCAUCACAACUUUAAAGCGAACACACCUCUUCAUUACUUUUCUUUGCCUCUAACUGUAACACUAUAUAUUUAUUUAUAUCAGAAGGAAGCAACCAGAGUUUUUAAGUCAAAAUGACUUUUGGGAGACAUCUUUUGUUGUGCCACAACUCAUAACCCAAAAAAUAAGAGAGGGAAACUCCUAUCCACAUCCAUAUCCAAAGUUUUCCAUGAAUUUUCUCCCUUUCCCAAUAUUUGUUUCUGAAUUCAGAUAUGUAUAUUAUUAUUAUUACUUUGAUUAAGCUGCGAACGACACGUUGACGCGAUAUUAUCAAUAUAUUCGACUUAUAUCUAAAGAGAAUUUCUCUAAUUUCUGCAUUAGGAAUUUGAUUCCAAGAACUUGAGGCAGCUAAUGAUUUAGAUUCUAGAAACUCUUGAGUUUCUUUGUUCCAUCUUUUUCUCUUGUUCUUUUCAGUGCAUUAAUUUGAAGCUGAAUAAAACUCAGAUAAGUGUCACUUUCUCUUAUGCGCAGUUAUCACUUGGGGACGUUAACUUUCUGUUAAUGACUUGCUAUAAACUAUAGCUAGAAAGAGAGAGAGCUGAAGCACCUUUGAUUACCCUUUUUAAACCGACUCCUUGGCUCUCUGUCGAGCAGAGCAUAUUAAA